AAAAAUUGAACGAGGGAUUGAUAAUUAAAAAUAUUAUAAUAUUUGUCGUCUAUAAUAUUUAAAGUUUAAAGUUUUCACGUAGUCACACACGUGUAAAGUCGUAAUUGUUUACAUACGGAGGAAACAAACGAGUGAUAUAUUGUUCUAUGAAUGUCAACACAUUCGACACAUCGUCGAAUUUACGAAAAUAGACGCUCGUACUCCAUUAUUUACUAGAGCGACGAGGAACGAGGACGAUUUACGAGCAGAUUUGCCGAAAGGUCGAACCGAUCAGUUCACUAACGCUCGUCUCAGUGAUCGGUGGCGAUUAAUUACGCUUAAGAAAACUAAUUUACGGGGGCAGAAAUGGUAUCCGACGACACCCUCGCUGUUUGUCGAGAGCGAACAUUUUCCAUACGGCGUAGAAAAAACCUUGAAUAUUCUUCCAAUCCCUUCCGUCCUGUCUAACAUUAGAUUGUAUCGAGAUUCCUUUUUUGGUUAUCUUAUAUUAGUUUAUCAAAAUUUUAGGAUAAAUAACUACAGUUUCAAGAUAUCAGAGAAUUUUUAUUAUAUAGAAAUUCUAAGGAAGUUUCAACGUUUGCUUCAAACUAAAUUAGGAAAUAUGUGAGUGAAUUUCGUUAGAAUCGUUUUCAAUUUAACAAAUUGGAUAUCAU